GUCGUGAGACAGUUCGGUCCCUAUCCGUUGUGGGCGUAGGAAAAUUGAAGAGAGCUAUCCUUAGUACGAGAGGACCGGGAUGGACCAACCUCUGGUGUAUCUGUUGUAACGCCAGUUGCAGUGCAGAGUAGCUAUGUUGGGAAUGGAUAACCGCUGAAAGCAUCUAAGCGGGAAGCCAACUUUAAGAUGAGUUUUCCCAUAUUUUAUAUAGUAAGAUCCCAGAAAGACUAUCUGGUUGAUAGGCUGGAGGUGGAAGCAUGGUGACAUGUUGAGCUGACCAGUACUAAUAGAUCGAGGAUUUAACCCU
rnacentral:rRNA from 1 species